AUGACCUGUGGUUAGGGGUGAAAGGCCAAGCAAACUCGGUGAUAGCUGGUUCUCCGCGAAAUGCAUUUAGGUGCAGCGUUGCGUGUUCAGCCAUGGAGGUAGAGCUACUGGAUGGGUAAGGGGGCCCACAAGCUUACCAACCCCAACCAAACUCCGAAUGCCAUGGAUCAAGAGCGCAGCAGUGAGACCUCGGGGGAUGAGCUUCGAUGGUCGAGAGGGAAACAGCCCAGAUCACCAGCUAAGGCCCCUAAUUCUGUACUAAGUGGUAAACGAUGUGGGAAUGCUCAGACAGCCAGGAGGUUGGCUUAGAAGCAGCCAUCCUUUAAAGAGUGCGUAACAGCUCACUGGUCGAGUGCGCCUGCGCCGAAAAUUUAACGGGGCUCAAGCUUACAACCGAAGCUGCGGAUUUAUUUCGUCAGAAGUAAGUGGUAGGGGAGCAUUCUCUAGGAGUUGAAGGUUGACCGACAAGGACAGCUGGAUUCUAGAGAAGAGAUUAUGCCGGCAUAAGUAGCGAUAAACGAUGUGAGAAUCAUCGUCCCCGUAAGCCUAAGGUUUCCUGGCCAAUGUUCGUCAGGUCAGGGUUAGUCGGAUCCUAAGGUGAGGCCGAAAGGCGUAGCCGAUGGAAAACAGGUCAACAUUCCUGUACCGCUGUAGUCGCGUUAUCAACGAAGGGGGGACGCAGAAGGGUAGGCACCGCCGGGUUCCUGGAAUACCCGGUCCAAGCGUGUAGGUGGGGUUCGUAGGCAAAUCCGCGGACCUGUUAACACUGAGACGUGAUAGGGAGGCCGUAAGGCCAUAAACGGGCUGAUCCCAUGCUGCCGAGAAAAGCCUCGUAGUGAGUGGCCAUAGUGACCGUACCGCAAACCGACACAGGUAGGUGGGUGGAGUACACCCAGGGGCGUGAGAGAACUCUCCCUAAGGAACUCUGCAAAUUAGCCCCGUAACUUCGGAAGAAGGGGUGCCUUGCUUAGGUGAAAGGAUUUACUCCUUGAGCCGAACAAGGUCGCAGUAACAAGGCUCUAGCGACUGUUUACCAAAAACACAGGACUCUGCUAACACGUAAGUGGAAGUAUAGGGUCUGAUGCCUGCCCGGUGCCGGAAGGUUAAGAGGAGAAGUGAGAGCUUUGAAUCGAAGCCCCGGUAAACGGCGGCCGUAACUAUAACGGUCCUAAGGUAGCGAAAUUCCUUGUCGGGUAAGUUCCGACCUGCACGAAUGGCGUAACGACUUCCCCGCUGUCUCCAACAUCGACUCAGCGAAAUUGAAUUGCCUGUCAAGAUGCAGGCUUCCCGCGGUUAGACGGAAAGACCCCGUGCACCUUUACUACAGCUUCACACUGGCAUUAGGCCGAACAUGUGCAGGAUAGGUGGUAGGCUUCGAAGCAGGGACGCCAGUCCCUGUGGAGCCUCCCUUGAGAUACCACCCUUGCUUUGCUUGAUGUCUAACCGCGGUCCGUUAUCCGGAUCCGGGACCCUGUGUGGCGGGUAGUUUGACUGGGGCGGUCGCCUCCCAAAGAGUAACGGAGGCGCGCGAUGGUUGGCUCAGAGCGGUCGGACAUCGCUCGUUGAGUGCAAUGGCAGAAGCCAGCCUGACUGCGAGACUGACAAGUCGAGCAGAGUCGAAAGACGGCCAUAGUGAUCCGGUGGUCCCGAGUGGAAGGGCCAUCGCUCAACGGAUAAAAGGUACGCCGGGGAUAACAGGCUGAUACUGCCCAAGAGUUCAUAUCGACGGCGUUGUUUGGCACCUCGAUGUCGGCUCAUCGCAUCCUGGGGCGGUAGUACGUCCCAAGGGUUGGGCUGUUCGCCCAUGAAAGCGGUACGCGAGCUGGGUUCAGAACGUCGUGAGACAGUUCGGUCCAUAUCCGGUGUAGGCGUUAGAAUAUUGAGAGGAGCCUUCUUUAGUACGAGAGGACCGAGAAGGACAUACCUCUGGUGUACCAGUUAUCGUGCCAACGGUAAACGCUGGGUAGCUAUGUAUGGAGAGGAUAACCGCUGAAAGCAUCUAAGUGGGAAGCCCACCUCAAGAUGAGUACUCUCAUGGCGUUAGGCCAGUAAGGUCACGGGCAGACCACCCGUUAAUAGGCGGUAGAUGGAAGUGCAGUAAUGUAUGAAGUCGAGCCGUACUAAUAGACCGAGC
rnacentral:rRNA from 1 species